AACGAACGCUGGCGGCAUGCCUUACACAUGCAAGUCGAACGGUAACAGGUCUUCGGAUGCUGACGAGUGGCGAACGGGUGAGUAAUACAUCGGAACGUGCCCGAUCGGGGGGGAUAACGAAGCGAAAGCUUUGCUAAUACCGCAUACGAUCUACGGAUGAAAGCAGGGGACCGCAAGGCCUUGCGCGAACGGAGCGGCCGAUGGCAGAUUAGGUAGUUGGUGGGAUAAAAGCUUACCAAGCCGACGAUCUGUAGCUGGUCUGAGAGGACGACCAGCCACACUGGGACUGAGACACGGCCCAGACUCCUACGGGAGGCAGCAGUGGGGAAUUUUGGACAAUGGGCGAAAGCCUGAUCCAGCCAUGCCGCGUGCAGGAUGAAGGCCUUCGGGUUGUAAACUGCUUUUGUACGGAACGAAAAGACUCUGGUUAAUACCUGGGGUCCAUGACGGUACCGUAAGAAUAAGCACCGGCUAACUACGUGCCAGCCGCCGCGGUAA
rnacentral:rRNA from 1 species